UACGAAGGGGGCUAGCGUUGCUCGGAAUCACUGGGCGUAAAGCGCACGUAGGCGGCUUUUUAAGUCAGGGGUGAAAUCCUGGAGCUCAACCCCGGAACUGCCUUUGAUACUGGGUAUCUGGAGGUCGAGAGAGGCGAGUGGAAUUCCGAGUGUAGAGGUGAAAUUCGUAGAUAUUCGGAGGAACACCAGUGGCGAAGGCGGCUCGCUGGCUCGAUACUGACGCUGAGGUGCGAAAGCGUGGGGAGCAAACAGG
rnacentral:rRNA from 1 species